UACGAAGGGGGCUAGCGUUUGUCGGAAUUACUGGGCGUAAAGAGCACGUAGGCGGCUCUGUAAGUUGGGGGUGAAAUCCCGAGGCUCAACCUCGGAAUUGCCUUCAAGACUGCAGGGCUUGAGUUCGGUAGAGGUGAGUGGAAUUCCCAGUGUAGAGGUGAAAUUCGUAGAGAUUGGGAAGAACACCAGUGGCGAAGGCGGCUCGCUGGCCCGUAACUGACGCUGAGGUGCGAAAGCGUGGGGAGCAAACAGG
rnacentral:rRNA from 1 species